GAUCCCACUGUUGACAAGGAGGUUGAGAUCAGGAAAAAAGUGCUAAAGAUAUACAAUAAAAGGGAAGAAGAUUUUCCUAGUCUAAGAGAAUACAAUGACUUCUUGGAAGAAGUGGAAGAAAUUGUUUUCAACUUGACCAACAAUGUGGAUUUGGACAACACCAAAAAGAAAAUGGAGAUAUACCAAAAGGAAAACAAAGAUGUUAUUCAGAAAAAUAAAUUAAAGCUGACUCGAGAACAGGAAGAACUGGAAGAAGCUUUAGAAGUGGAACGACAGGAAAAUGAACAAAGAAGAUUAUUUAUACAAAAAGAAGAACAACUGCAGCAGAUUCUAAAAAGGAAGAAUAAGCAGGCUUUUUUAGAUGAGCUGCAUAAAGAUAGAUCUACCCAAUUAGAAAUGCAACUUGAGAAACCCAAACCUGUAAAACCAGUGACGUUUUCCACAGGCAUCAAAAUGGUAAGCUUAUUU
rnacentral:sRNA from 1 species